rnacentral:rRNA from 1 species
CAGUAGCCGCGGUAAUACGAAGGGUGCAAGCGUUAAUCGGAAUUACUGGGCGUAAAGCGUGCGUAGGCGGUGAGUUAAGUCUGCUGUGAAAUCCCCGGGCUCAACCUGGGAAUGGCAGUGGAUACUGGCUCGCUAGAGUGUGUCAGAGGAUGGUGGAAUUCCCGGUGUAGCGGUGAAAUGCGUAGAGAUCGGGAGGAACAUCAGUGGCGAAGGCGGCCAUCUGGGACAACACUGACGCUGAGGCACGGAAGCGUGGGGAGCAAACAGGAUUAGAUACCCCGGUAGUCCCUGUCUCUUAUAC